CCAUUCCAGUUGAUUGACAGGCCACUCUACGUCUCGUUGAAAUAAGCGCCUUACGAAAAGACAAAUGCGGGAUGCAGAAUAAUGGUGUUUGAAAACAGGAAUCGAUAGAGAGGACCUGCUUUAAAUACAUCAUUGUGGAGUGAGUUUUCAAGUGGUUUCCUGUGCCAUCUGCUUCACUGUCCAGACCACCUGCUGACACCUAAAGGGAACUGCAUGAGCCACUUUUACAUGCUCUCAUCAUGUCUACACUGGAGAGACCUGUGCCCCUUCCCUCUGAGUUGUAGUUUUUGGUGGAAGAGCUUGCAAGUCCUGAGAAAACUGAGAGGACUGUCUCAGCAUUUUUUUUUUGUCUCUGGUUUUCUUUUGGGAUAAUUUGAAUAAUUUUGUAAAGCUUGUGAGUAAGCCUUUUAUAGCUCAUGCAAUUUGGAUAUUUAAAUAGAUGAUGUUGUUUGAAUAUGAGCUAAUAAAAUAUUGUCAGUUAAAA